rnacentral:pre_miRNA from 1 species
UCCCUGUCCUCCAGGAGCUCACUUGUGUCUGCCGUGAGCUCCUCGGGGCCAGAGCCC